UAGAAAGUUGUCGGUUGGAAG
rnacentral:snRNA from 1 species